rnacentral:rRNA from 1 species
UACGUAGGGUGCAAGCGUUAAUCGGAGUUACUGGGCGUAAAGCGUGCGCAGGCGGCUUUGCAAGACAGAUGUGAAAUCCCCGGGCUCAACCUGGGAACUGCAUUUGUGACUGCAUGGCUGGAGUGCGGCAGAGGGGGAUGGAAUUCCGCGUGUAGCAGUGAAAUGCGUAGAUAUGCGGAGGAACACCGAUGGCGAAGGCAAUCCCUGGGCCUGCACUGACGCUCAUGCACGAAAGCGUGGGGAGCAAACAGG